rfam:Oryza glaberrima chromosome 8 Oglab08_0008_1, whole genome shotgun sequence.
UUUAAGUAUACUUGUGAGUUUCCGUGUCCAAUAUAUCCGUCAUAUUUAAAAUUUGUUUAUGAUUAACAUUUUUGUUAUUAUUAGAUGAUAAAACAUAAAUAGUACACUUUAUGCGUGACUUAUUUUUUAAUUUUCUUCAUAUUUUUUUAAAUAAAAUGAACGGUCAAACGUUGUACAUGAAAAUCCAGAACUGCACUUAAA